rnacentral:tRNA from 1 species
GCAAUGGUGAUUCAGUGGUAGAAUUCCCACCUUCCAUGUGGGAGGCCUGGUUAGAUUCCUGGCCAAUGCA